AAACUUUCUUCACACACGAAGAUACUUUCAAUAAUUAGCAAGCGGAAGACUUUCUAGACUUUAUACAAUAUGUCUCAAAACCAUCUAAUACUUGAAUAUAACAUUGGGACUAAGCCCACUCAAAACUUAAGCAAAUACUAGAGAGACAUAAAAAAGAACAUGUUGGUUAUUGCCCUCGAAUCUAUGAGGACUCACCAAGUCUUCAUCUCCAA
rnacentral:lncRNA from 1 species